rnacentral:rRNA from 1 species
UACGUAGGCAGCAAGCGUUGUUCGGAAUUACUGGGCGUAAAGAGUGUGUAGGCGGUGCUCUAAGUUCGGUGUGAAAUCUCCCGGCUCAACUGGGAGGGUGCGCCGGAAACUGGGGUGCUGGAGCGCGGGAGAGGAAAGCGGAAUUCCUGGUGUAGCGGUGAAAUGCGUAGAUAUCAGGAGGAACACCGGUGGCGAAGGCGGCCAACUGGGCCGGACCUGACGCUGAGGCGCGAAGGCGUGGGGAGCGAACGGG